ACUUGUUUUAUCCGAAUAAUUUUAUCCGAAUAAGUGUAUAGAUAUUUUGACAGGAAUUUAAUAAGUAGACAAAAAAGUGGUCAGGAUUUUUAUUUUGUUAAAAUCUUGGCUAAAUUAAAUGUGAUUUAUUGUUAAAAAAAAGAAAAAGAAAGUGAACUGCUGCUGGGAAUUUUAUUUUAAAAAGAUAAACACAAACUUUAUAUGGCAAAAUAGAAAUCUAACACGAAAGUCUAAAACAGUUAUUGAAAAAUAGCAGACUUUGAGUUACAUCCAAACAAAAUUUCAACAACAGGCAGUUUAAGAAAGAAUGGACAUUAACUUUUGUCUGGGCAAAUAACAAAUUCAAUUAGUUAAAAAAAGCCUAGAUGGCUAUUUUCAAUCAUCUUUUUUAAAGAUUAAAACUUCUGGAGAUCGUUCUUAAAGAAACGCUUGAAUUCGCGUAAACACGUUUUAAAUGAACUGAUUUCGACUCCGUUGCGUAUAGGCUAAAGAUGGAACAGAAGAAAAAUGGUAUACCUACAGUUAAAGUAGAGAAUACAGCGUUGCGGGAAUUGGAGGAAGAAGACGCUAUACGUCGUCUUGAAGAUGUUGUUGACACUAUGACGGAUAUGGCUCAUAUACGAAGGAAUUCAAGAACGAAAGAUGAUCACCAAAUGGAAAUCAGUCCAGCGUUGGUAAAAGGCAAGU